rnacentral:lncRNA from 1 species
GACUCCAACCCGGCCGUGAUGGCACCCAGCACACUACUAGGCAAGCCCAACCAUUUAUAAAAAUAACCCCAUUAAUUUAACAGAUGAAGAUAAGUACCAUUUAAAUUAAAAGUCUUAAAUACUGAUAAUAGUGCUGAAAUCUAACAAAAUACCAAUACAACCUAACUAAGACCUGGUGUCACGAACAUGAGCCUCUAAAUAACGAGUAAAAUCCUACUACAAAUUCUAUCUAAAAGUGAUAAAUAUGAAAUAAAGGAUAAGGAUAGAGGGGAGAAUCAUCGGCGUCGAAUGCCCUUCAGCUACCUCUCAAAUACUCCCGGAAUAAGAACUCUGGAUUAGCUGGAUCUACUCAGCCUGAGGCUAACCUGGAUCUGCAAGAAAGGUGCAGGGAGUAAAGUGAGUACUCUGACCCAGUGAGUAAUAAACAUAACUACAAUCUGAAAGUAAGAAAAUGCAGAAAAUCCACAAAGUAAUAUAUGUCUAUUAGUUUAUAUCCAAAACAGUGGAAACAGUAAACAACGAGUAAUACAGUCAAGAAAUAUUGCAUCAAAGAAAGAAACACAUAUAACGAUACACUCUAGUACCCACUGCGGCGUGUAACUCGCUCCACUUAUUUAAUGUCGACGACGCUCACUGGGGGUAUGUACAGACUCCGGAGGGGCUCCUACAGCCCAAGCGCAAUAUUAGCCAGGUAUUGGCAUAAAACAGGCUCUUGACCUCAAUAUCAAUAUAUAUAAUCGCUGCGGCGUGCAACCUGAUCCAUAUCAAGCAAAAAUCCUCACUACCGGGACCACGACCCAUCUCAGUCAAAUAAGUCCAUAGCCAAUCGAGCGUGACAUACUAUAGGGAUCUCAGCCCUCACAUCCUUUUUCAUUUAAUGUUCAUGUAUAAAAUACAGUUAUUAUUUUGUUUUUAACAAUUGAAAACAUGACUGAGUAUACAUGUGACGCACACAAGUGAAGCAAAACACAUAAGGAUCCCCUAAGGAUUCUACAGGUUGGCACAAGACCCCAAACAAGACAAUAAGCCCAAUUCACAAUGAUAAAGUAUGCAUCUCAAUUGCCAAUAUAGUAGAAAUCAACACUCGAGAUGGACUAAGUCACAAUCCCCAAUAGUAGAUGACCCCACACCUAUCGUGGAAUGCGUGUCACGCCUCAAUAUAGCGUUAUGAUGUGAAAGUCUGGGGUUUCAAACCCUCAAAGCAGCAUUUACAUCAAUUGCUCACCUCUAGACAGUCGUUAUGGAUUCAAAUGUAGCCGAUUGUGAUGAUUCAGACUUCACAUUAGUUACAAUAGAGCCAUCAACAUCAUCAGACAUAUGGUUGAUGGACUCAUCUUGUAGCUAUCAUAUGUGCCCCAACAGGGACUGGUUCGUGGAAUUUGAAGAAGAAGAAUAUGGAGUCAUCCACACAACGGAUAAUAGCCCUCUUACCUCAUAUGGAAUUGGUUCAAUACGAUUAAGGAACCGUAAUGGAAUGAUCAAAACAUUAACAGAUGUUCGAUAUGUACCGCAUUUGAAGAAGAAUCUCAUCUCUUUGGGAGCCCUAGAAUCAAAAGGGUUCAAAAUUAUUGCAGAAAAUGGAGUGAUUAGAGUAUGCUCUGGUGCACUAGUGGUAAUGAAGGCUAAUCGGAAGAAUAAUAACAUGUACCGCUAUCGUGGUAGUACAUUGGGACAACGGCAGAAACAUCUAGUGACGACAAAGAGGCAGGAGCAACCAGACUAUGGCACAUGUGUUUGGGUCAUGCUGGAGGAAAAUCCUUGAAGACUCUAUAAGAUCAAGGAUUGUUGAAAGGAGUAAAGACUUGCAACUUGGAGUUUUGCGAGCAUUGUGUCAANNNNNNNNNNNNNNNNNNNNNNNNNNNNNNNNNNNNNNNNNNNNNNNNNNNNNNNNNNNNNNNNNNNNNNNNNNNNNNNNNNNNNNNNNNNNNNNNNNNNNNNNNNNNNNNNNNNNNNNAGGCAUCUUGGAUUAUGUACACUCUAAUAUUUGGGGUCCUUCCAAAACACCUUCAUUGGGUGGGAAGCACUAUUUUGUAACAUUUGUUGAUGAUUUUUUCCGAAGAUUAUGGGUGUAUACAAUGAAAUGCAAAUAUGAAGUGUUGGGAGUUUUUCUCAAAUGAAAGACGAUGGUGGAGAGUCAAACAGGCAGGAGGAUCAAGUGUAUUCGCACAGAUAAUGGAGGUGAAUACAAAAAUGAUCAUUUCAAAUGGUCUGUGAAAAUGAUGGCAUCGUCCGACGAUUCACUGUCAAACAUACACCACAAUAGUAUGGAGUGGCAGAACGCACAAACCGGACCUUGCUAGAGAAGGUAUGGUGUAUGUUGUCCAAUGCUGGAGGUCUGUAAAAAUGAUGGCAUCGUCCGACACUUCGCUGUCAAACAUACACCACAAUAGUAUGGAGUGGCAGAAUGCACAAACCGGACCUUGCUGGAGAAGGUAUGGUGUAUGUUGUCCAAUUCUGGCUUGGGAAAAGAAUUUUGGGCUGAGGCAACUACAUAUGCAUGCCACGUCAUUAAUCGAUUACCAUCUACUGCUAUUGAUGGUAAGACACUAUUUGAAAAAUGGUAUGGAAAGCCUGUUGUAGAUUAUGACUCUUUUCACAUGUUUGGCUCAACUGCAUAUUAUCAUGUGACGGAGUGAAAAAUGGAUCCAAGGGCAAAGAACACUAUUUUUAUUGGGAUUGCUUCUGGAGUCAAAGGAUAUCGAUUAUGGUGUCCUAUGACAAAGAGAGUAAUAUUCAGCAGAGAUGUUACCUUCGAUGAAUCUGUAUGGUAAGUAAAGUAACAAGUGGAUAUACCAAACAAUAUAAUGGUGCUUCUAAGCAGGUGGAGUUUGAAGGAAAAUUUAUUUUUCCUACACAAGAAGCAGAUGAGAAAACAAAUGAAGAUUAUUCUCUAGAAGGAGAGCCGGUAGAGGAUAUUCCAACUCAGGAACCUCAACAACAACUUGAAUCAAUAGCAACUAGCAGGCCAAAAAGGACAGUAACAAAACAUGUUCGCCUCAUAGAGAUAGUUGCUUGUACGACCGCAAUUGUAGCUAAUAAUGUUUCUACCACUUAUAAAGACACAGUCCAAAGUUCAGAAGAAGAUAAGUGGAGGAUUGUCAUGAAUAAUGAAAUACAAUCCCUUCAUUAGAAUCAUACAUGGAUAUUGGCCAAUCUCUCAAAGGCAAAAAAAGCAAUUGGGUGCAAAUGGGUAUUUGCAAAGAAGGAAGGAUUUCCUAACCAAGUAGACGUUCGCUACAAAGCAAGAUUGGUGGCCAAAGGAUAUGCUCAAAAGGAGAGAAUUGACUAUAAUAAAUUGUUUUCUACAGCUGUAAAACAUCCUUCCAUUCGAAUUAUGUUGGCUUUGGUAGCACACUUGGAUUUAGAACUAGCUCAGAUGGAUGUUAAAACUGCGUUAUUACAUGGAAACAUGGAGGAAGAAAUAUAUGACUCAGCCAGAAGGAUUCAAAGUUGUUGGAAAAGAAAAUAUAGUGUGCAAACUUGAAAAAUCGUUAUACGGUUUGAAACAAUCUUCUAGACAAUGCUACAAGUGAUUUGACAAAUUUAUGUUGCAGCAAGGAUACAAGAGAAGCAAAUACGAUCAUUGUGUGUAUUUGCGCAAGCUUAAAGAUGGUUCCUUUAUAUAUCUUCUCCUAUAUGUUGAUGAUAUGUUGAUAGCUUCUAAGAAUUUAAAAGAAAUUGAUAAGUUGAAGAUUCAACUGAAGAAGGAGUUCGAAAUGAAGGAUUUGGGUGAGGCAAAGAAAAUUCUUGGCAUGGAGAUAAUAAGAGAUAGACGCUCAAAGAAACUAUGUUUAUCUUAAAAGGAAUAUAUGAAGAGAGUACUACAACGUUUUGGCAUAGAUGACAAGACUAAGCCAGUUAGUACUCCACUUGCUCCCUAUUUUAAGCUUAGUACUACUAUAUCAUCAAAGGAUGAAGCUGGACAAGAGUAUAUGUUAAAGGCACCAUAUGCAAAUGUUGUUGGUAGCUUGAUGUAUGCAAUGAUCUGUACGAGACCUGACAUUUUACAAGCUAUUGGAGUUAUUAUCAGAUAUAUGCAUAAUCUAGGCAAGGAGCAUUGGCAAGCUGUGAAGUGGAUUCUAUGGUAUAUUCAUAAUACUGUAGAUGCUGGGUUAGUUUUUUAGCAAGAAGAGAAUCAUUCUAUAGUUGGAUAUUGUGACUCAGAUUUUGCAGGUGAUCUCGACAAACGAAGAUCAAUUACUGGUUAUGUGUUUACUUUUGCAAAGGCACCAGUUAGUUGGAAGUCUACUUUGCAGUCAACGGUUGCUUUGUCUACAAUAGAGGCAGAGUACAUGGCUAUUACAGAGGUUGUAAAUGAGGCAAUUUGGCUUCAAGGAUUGCUAAAAGAGCUUGGUGCAUUGCUUUGUCUACAACAGAGGCAGAGUACAUGGCUAUUACAGAUACUAUGAAGGAGGCACUUUGGCUUCAAGGAUUGCCAAAGGAGCUUGGUAUCGAACAAAAAUGUAUCACAAUUUUUUGUGAUAGUCAAAGUGUUAUUCAAUUAGUGAAGAACCAAGCUUAUCAUGCAUGGACGAAGAACAUUGAUGUUCGGUAUCAUUUCGUACGAGAAAUCAUAGAAGAAGGUGGAGUCACGUUGAAGAAAAUUCAUACUACAGAGAAUCCUGCUGAUAUGCUAACAAAAGUGGUGAUUGCGAUCAAGUUUCAACAUUGUUGGGUUUGAUCAACAUUGUUAAACACUGAAGAUUGAAGAUGAUGACUCAACAACUGUGAUGAAGUUUCAAACGUUUGACUUUGAUCAACAUUUUUGAACACUGAAGAUUGAAGAUGAAAACACAACCAAAAUUUGUUAUAGAGAGAAAAUUAAAGAUGUGAAAUUUUUUCCAAGGGAGAUUUGUUGAAUUUGGCAAAAGCCUAGUCCCACAUCGGUUGGGAAUUUGAUUUGGGGACCCCCCAAUAAAAGAAGGCAUAAUGUUUAGGAUUUAAACACAGCUCUUAUUUGCCUUCUCAUUUGUUCAGGCAUUUGUAUCUUCUCUCUUUAGUAUUAUUUCACUUGUAUUUUUGGAGUGGAAUAAAAUAUUGGUUGUGUCCGAGGAGUAGGCAAAGCUGGUCGAACCUCGUAAAUUCUGGUGUUUCUUCUGUUGUUGCUUUAUUGUCUUAUUCAUUAUUUAGUGGUUGUCAUAUUUUUUUGGUGUAUCGAACCUCGUAAAUUCUGGUGUUUCUUUUGUUGUUGCUUUAUUGUCUUAUUCAUUAUUUAGUGGUUGUCAUAUUUUUUUGGUGUAGUAGUUCUGUCUCAUUCAAACUAUAUACAUUCAGCUUCCGCAACACAAAUAAAUGGAAACAACUUGCUCUCUUAAUUUAUUUGAAUUAACUAUAUAUUAGCCUUACUGGUAUAUCCUCUUAUAAACUUUCCCACUUUCAUUCGUUGUAACAAUUAUCUUAAGUAUAAACUUUAACUUAUUUUUUGGUAUGGGGUAUUAACUGAACUUAUAAUGCCAUUCAAAAUUACUCUCUUCAUUCUCAAAUUGGGUCUUCCAAAUUUUGGGCUUGAAAGUAGUGGGAUUAAUCUAUAAAGGGUCUUUUAGUGCGCCAAACAGGACUUAGUAACCGUAAGUUGGUUACAGCAAUGGGAUUAUUAGCUGGACUACUUUCCAUUUUUAUACCAGGUUAAUGACCGGACUUCUCCUGCAGUUAUCCAGUCCACAUUUUCAUCGCAAGCAGAUCACCUUUAGCACUAUGAAUACCCUGAGCCACACAGCGGUAUUUUAAUUGCAAAGUGCUGCAUCUAAUUUUUCUAAUAAUUCCAUGGGCAUCCCACCUUGAUCGUCACAAAUCCUACACGCUAAGAAUUCAAUCGUCCAACUAAAAGGACUUACAAGAAAACACGUAUAGCAGAAGAAGGAAUAGAAAUCUAGCCAAAAAAGAGUGGGGGAGGGGAGGGGAGGAGAGAAUGAAGAAUUAUAGCAACGGCAUUUGGAUAAAAUUCUGAAAAAUAAAGGAAAAAUAUAGAAAAUGAACAAUUUGCAGAAAGAGAUCAUAGCAAAAAUGGUGAAACUAUCGCAAAGCGCAUCCAAGAGAAGAAGAAAGAGAGUUAGAAAAGUAUGAUUAUAAAUCAUAAGACAUUAAGAAAUAAAGGAUUGCUGAUGAGAAGUUACUGGAAAAUUGGAAAAAACCGAAUUAUAGAAAAUUUAAUCAGAUAUUUAAAAGUAGAGAUUGCCAAUGUGUGACAGUGGAGGGAGAUCGUCAUCAUAGAGGGUAGAUGGAGGCAGGCAGACCAUCAUUAGUAUCAAUGCAGGGUCUUUUUUGUGGGUGGUGGUGGACUUCAAGGGGGUCGUUGUCAUUGAGGGGCUAGGACAUGAGUACGGACACUUGGGAAGGGGAUAAGGGUAGAUGAGAAAAGGUCUGAGCAUUUUGCAGAAUGUUAUUUAUUAAUGAUCCUGGAGGGACACGUAUUACAUUUCUCUAUACUGUGUCAAUGAGUUAUGUUGUCCCGUGUAUACUAGAGUUUUGAAAAUUAUCAGCAAGCAGUCGUGUCCAUAUGGCUUGCUGCUGAUGCAGUUGUAGUUUUCUGAACAGGUAAGUAAUUGAAUCAAAAUCUCAUUUAAUGAUCACGUUAACUUUUGAAAUCUCAUUUAAUGGCGUAAACUUUUGAUAAGUGGUAUCUGAGCAUUUUGCAGAAUGUUAUCUAUUCAUGAUCCACCAUUUUCCUUAGCUCAUACAAACUAGGCAAAUUGCCUUUGAUUUUUACUCAAAUAAAUGAAAAUGGUACUUUGAAUGGUUAGGAUGAAUAACGACCACUGAAACCAACUAGGGAAAGGUGUGUUCUGAUGUCUGGUUCUGACUGGAUGAUAAACGUUUUUUGCCCAAUACUUGCUUGUCAUUUGAAGGAAUUGUAUAGUCUCAACUUGAAUGCUAGGCAUCCUUGAGCAGCUUUAAUAUAAUGCAUUUGAGAACUACUAGAGGUUACCCAAACUGUUCCCUCCAACUGAUUUCCCUUGGGAACUGCUGCAAAGUUUAGUUAAUUCAAGAGGCAAGAUUUUAAUUGUAUAAGUUAUUUGAAGAAAUCGUUCAACUAACCUCAGACAUAUUACAGAUGCUUGAUGAUUUCGUGGAUGUUACCAAAGAUGAGAAGCAAAUGAUGCAUCUGUGGAACUCAUUUGUUAGAAAGCAAA